CCUAUGCUGACCUAGCUACACACACACACACACACACACACAAACACACAAACACGCACACACACUCAAGACCUAAGACAGUGAAUUGCACAUAGCACAAACUAUACGAUCACUAGAUUUAUUUUCUCAGUUUAGGGCACCCAGUCUGCUUUAUUUUGUUAUAGCAGCCUCAGCAGACUAACACACCAUUCCUCUGCCUGUUCAGUUGUUUGACUCAAUAACAGAAGCUUCUCACGAGCAUCUCAAAAUUGUUCUCCAUCCUCCUCUAAUCAAUAAGUAGGAUCUGACAAUUGUUUGAAAUCAAGCAAUGAUAUCCUUUGAGUAGUCAAAAUAGCUAUCACAUAUUUUGUAUUUUCUAUGUGCCAGGCACCCUUCCAGGUAUGAAUGUAUUUAAUAAUUACAACAAUCCUAUGAACUAGAUGCUAUUAUUACUCCAUUUCAUAGAAAAGGAAACUGAGGCAUAGUGGUGCUAACUCGCUAACUCAACUAGUAAGUGUGGGGAGAAGG
rnacentral:lncRNA from 1 species